rnacentral:rRNA from 1 species
CCAGAGAUGGAUUGGUGCCUUCGGGAACUCUGACACAGGUGCUGCAUGGCUGUCGUCAGCUCGUGUCGUGAGAUGUUGGGUUAAGUCCCGUAACGAGCGCAACCCUUGUCCUUAGUUACCAGCACGUUAUGGUGGGCACUCUAAGGAGACUGCCGGUGACAAACCGGAGGAAGGUGGGAUGACGUCAAGUCAUCAUGGCCCUUACGGCCUGGGCUACACACGUGCUACAAUGGUCGGUACAAAGGGUUGCCAAGCCGCGAGGUGGAGCUAAUCCCAUAAAACCGAUCGUAGUCCGGAUCGCAGUCCGCAACUCGACUGCGUGAAGUCGGAAUCGCUAGUAAUCGUGAAUCAGAAUGUCACGGUGAAUACGUUCCCGGGCCUU